CUCACUCUAGAUCUAGAGUUAAGAAAAAUCCUCACAGUUGUUCAGUACCCAAGCACUGGAGACACAAGAAAUGACACAAGGCGCCAACAGCACGUCUAAGCUGCACAUCUCUGUGGUGAGAAAAUAGCCUCCUCAAGUGCAUGCUCUAAAGUGUGUUCAUUUCUAGAGCAUGUGUAUGAGUGCUUUGCUUGCAUGCAUGUAUGUGUACCACAUGUGAGAGGUGCCCAUGUGCAUGCAUGUAUGUGCACCACAUGUGAGAGGUGCCCAUGUGCAUGCAUGUAUGUGCACCACAUGUGAGAGGUGCCCAUGUGCAUGCAUGUAUGUGCACCACAUGUGAGAGGUGCCCAUGUGCAUGCAUGUAUGUGCACCACAUGUGAGAGGUGCCCAUGUGCAUGCAUGUAUGUGCACCACAUGUGAGAGGUGCCCAUGUGCAUGCAUGUAUGUGUACCACAUGUGAGAGGU